rnacentral:rRNA from 1 species
GGGAGCUUGCUCCCGGAUGUUAGCGGCGGACGGGUGAGUAACACGUGGGUAACCUGCCUGUAAGACUGGGAUAACUCCGGGAAACCGGAGCUAAUACCGGAUAGUUCCUUGAACCGCAUGGUUCAAGGAUGAAAGACGGUUUCGGCUGUCACUUACAGAUGGACCCGCGGCGCAUUAGCUAGUUGGUGAGGUAACGGCUCACCAAGGCGACGAUGCGUAGCCGACCUGAGAGGGUGAUCGGCCACACUGGGACUGAGACACGGCCCAGACUCCUACGGGAGGCAGCAGUAGGGAAUCUUCCGCAAUGGACGAAAGUCUGACGGAGCAACGCCGCGUGAGUGAUGAAGGUUUUCGGAUCGUAAAGCUCUGUUGUUAGGGAAGAACAAGUGCAAGAGUAACUGCUUGCACCUUGACGGUACCUAACCAGAAAGCCACGGCUAACUACGUGCCAGCAGCCGCGGUAAUACGUAGGUGGCAAGCGUUGUCCGGAAUUAUUGGGCGUAAAGGGCUCGCAGGCGGUUUCUUAAGUCUGAUGUGAAAGCCCCCGGCUCAACCGGGGAGGGUCAUUGGAAACUGGGAAACUUGAGUGCAGAAGAGGAGAGUGGAAUUCCACGUGUAGCGGUGAAAUGCGUAGAGAUGUGGAGGAACACCAGUGGCGAAGGCGACUCUCUGGUCUGUAACUGACGCUGAGGAGCGAAAGCGUGGGGAGCGAACAGGAUUAGAUACCCUGGUAGUCCACGCCGUAAACGAUGAGUGCUAAGUGUUAGGGGGUUUCCGCCCCUUAGUGCUGCAGCUAACGCAUUAAGCACUCCGCCUGGGGAGUACGGUCGCAAGACUGAAACUCAAAGGAAUUGACGGGGGCCCGCACAAGCGGUGGAGCAUGUGGUUUAAUUCGAAGCAACGCGAAGAACCUUACCAGGUCUUGACAUCCUCUGACAACCCUAGAGAUAGGGCUUUCCCUUCGGGGACAGAGUGACAGGUGGUGCAUGGUUGUCGUCAGCUCGUGUCGUGAGAUGUUGGGUUAAGUCCCGCAACGAGCGCAACCCUUGAUCUUAUUUGCCAGCAUUCAGUUGGGCACUCUAAGGUGACUGCCGGUGACAACCCGNAGGAA